rnacentral:rRNA from 1 species
UGCAGUCGAGCGGUAACAGGGGUAGCUUGCUACCCGCUGACGAGCGGCGGACGGGUGAGUAAUGCAUAGGAAUCUGCCCGGUAGUGGGGGAUAACCUGGGGAAACCCAGGCUAAUACCGCAUACGUCCUACGGGAGAAAGGGGGCUUCGGCUCCCGCUAUUGGAUGAGCCUAUGUCGGAUUAGCUAGUUGGUGAGGUAAAGGCUCACCAAGGCAACGAUCCGUAGCUGGUCUGAGAGGAUGAUCAGCCACAUCGGGACUGAGACACGGCCCGAACUCCUACGGGAGGCAGCAGUGGGGAAUAUUGGACAAUGGGGGCAACCCUGAUCCAGCCAUGCCGCGUGUGUGAAGAAGGCCCUCGGGUUGUAAAGCACUUUCAGCGAGGAAGAACGCCUAUCGGUUAAUACCCGGUAGGAAAGACAUCACUCGCAGAAGAAGCACCGGCUAACUCCGUGCCAGCAGCCGCGGUAAUACGGAGGGUGCAAGCGUUAAUCGGAAUUACUGGGCGUAAAGCGCGCGUAGGUGGCUUGAUAAGCCGGUUGUGAAAGCCCCGGGCUCAACCUGGGAACGGCAUCCGGAACUGUCAGGCUAGAGUGCAGGAGAGGAAGGUAGAAUUCCCGGUGUAGCGGUGAAAUGCGUAGAGAUCGGGAGGAAUACCAGUGGCGAAGGCGGCCUUCUGGACUGACACUGACACUGAGGUGCGAAAGCGUGGGUAGCAAACAGGAUUAGAUACCCUGGUAGUCCACGCCGUAAACGAUGUCGACCAGCCGUUGGGUGCCUAGCGCACUUUGUGGCGAAGUUAACGCGAUAAGUCGACCGCCUGGGGAGUACCUGGACUGACACUGACACUGAGGUGCGAAAGCGUGGGUAGCAAACAGGAUUAGAUACCCUGGUAGUCCACGCCGUAAACGAUGUCGACCAGCCGUUGGGUGCCUAGCGCACUUUGUGGCGAAGUUAACGCGAUAAGUCGACCGCCUGGGGAGUACGGCCGCAAGGUUAAAACUCAAAUGAAUUGACGGGGGCCCGCACAAGCGGUGGAGCAUGUGGUUUAAUUCGAUGCAACGCGAAGAACCUUACCUACCCUUGACAUCUACAGAAGCCGGAAGAGAUUCUGGUGUGCCUUCGGGAACUGUAAGACAGGUGCUGCAUGGCUGUCGUCAGCUCGUGUUGUGAAAUGUUGGGUUAAGUCCCGUAACGAGCGCAACCCUUGUCCUUAUUUGCCAGCACGUAAUGGUGGGAACUCUAAGGAGACUGCCGGUGACAAACCGGAGGAAGGUGGGGACGACGUCAAGUCAUCAUGGCCCUUACGGGUAGGGCUACACACGUGCUACAAUGGCCGGUACAAAGGGCUGCGAGCUCGCGAGAGUCAGCGAAUCCCUUAAAGCCGGUCUCAGUCCGGAUCGGAGUCUGCAACUCGACUCCGUGAAGUCGGAAUCGCUAGUAAUCGU